rnacentral:rRNA from 1 species
AGUCUUGUAUUGGAAUGAUGGGAAUUUAAACCUCUUCCAGAGUAUCAAUUGGAGGGCAAGUCUGGUGCCAGCAGCCGCGGUAAUUCCAGCUCCAAUAGCGUAUAUUAAACUUGUUGCAGUUAAAAAGCUCGUAGUUGAAUUUCUGCUGUAUCGUUUUCCUCUGCUUGACAGUUGGAUUUCGUUAUGGCUUAGUUGGGUUACAGUUUCUGUUACCUGACGUUUACUUUGAGAAAAUUAGAGUGCUUCAAGCAGGCUUUUGCCUUGAAUACUUUAGCAUGGAAUAAUAGAGUAGGACUUUGGUUCUAUUUUGUUGGUUUUAGGAGCCAGAGUAAUGGUUAAUAGGAACAGUUGGGGGCAUUCGUAUUUGACUGUCAGAGGGA